CCGAGGCGUGCUCCUGCUGGCCAGCAGCCAGGCCCUGAGCUUGCUCUGGACACACGGAGUGGACAAAACGCCCUGCUCGCUGCCCGAAGAGACUCUGCCUGCUUAGAGUCGUGGUUUCCUCCAGUUCUCUGACUGCAUCCGUAAUGGUCAGCUUGAAGUCUUUCCCUGUUAAAGCCGGCAUCUCACUCUGUCACCUGCGUUUUAGGAGCAACAUGGUAUGUGGUCGUGUUUCCGUUUCUUUGUAUCUUUGUAAUGUUGGAUUGGAAACUGGUCCUUUUAGGUAAUGUGUCAUACCAGCUCUGGGUACUGGUCACCCCAGACUGGGACUUGCCUUCUCUUUGUGUCUUGCUGGCUGGGUCAUCUUAGGGGCUCCCCGUCCCUGACAGAGGCUCUGAUGCUCCUUCCCAGGGGCAUGGCCUUAGGAAGGCCCAUGGUCCCCCCACCCCACCCCACCCCACCCCACUCCAUGGCAGUGGUUUUGGCAAAGCUCUGACUGUGUGGUCUCUGACCACACACAGCGGGUAAACUCCACUCACAGCUGGCCAACUGCUGUUUUCAACAAUGCCCUGGGCAGAAGCUGCUUCUCAGACCAAUCCCAUUGCACCUGGCUCCUCUGAAGCAGAUACCAAGGUCAGUGGUGGGGAUUCCCCUGACCACAAGGGGGCCUUCGGCCCAGCCUCUCUCCAUGACGUCCCUCUCUUGAGAGCACCCUGGGGUGGGCCCUGCCACGCUAUGCAGGACCAGCCCGCUUCUCCCCUGGCAAAGACCUCUGAGCACUGCUCACUGCUGGCGGUGAGUGACAGCUGAGGGCUGCAAGCAGGGAGCAGUGGUCCAGGCCUCCGGGGCCAGCCCCUCAGCAUGGAACCGCCACACGGCUCACCCCGGGCGCCUCAGCAGUCUGCCUGCAUCCUCAUGGAGACGGCGGUGGAGAAUGUGACUCAUGGACAGUGCAGCGCCCCAGAAGCCCUUCUUGGGAGAGCUGUGCUCCCUGGAAGCAGGUCAGGGGCUGUCUGACCGCCC
ensembl:lncRNA